UACAGAGGUCUCAAGCGUUGUUCGGAUUCAUUGGGCGUAAAGGGUGCGUAGGCGGCGCGGUAAGUCGGGUGUGAAAUCUUGGAGCUUAACUCCGAAACUGCAUUCGAUACUGCCGUGCUUGAGGACUGGAGAGGAGAGUGGAAUUCCUGGUGUAGCGGUGAAAUGCGUAGAUAUCGUGAGGAAGACCAGUGGCGAAGGCGGGUCUCUGGACAGUUCCUGACGCUGAGGCGCGAAGGCCAGGGGAGCAAACGGG
rnacentral:rRNA from 1 species